UACGGGGGGGGCAAGCGUUGUUCGGAAUUACUGGGCGUAAAGGGCUCGUAGGCGGCCAACUAAGUCGGAUGUGAAAUCCCCAGGCUUAACCUGGGAACUGCAUCCGAUACUGGAUGGCUUGAAUCCGGGAGAGGGAUGCAGAAUUCCAGGUGUAGCGGUGAAAUGCGUAGAUAUCGGAAGGAACAUCAGUGGCGAAAGCGACUCACUGGACACAUAUUGACGCUGAGGUGCGAAAGCGUGGGGAGCAAACAGG
rnacentral:rRNA from 1 species